GCAGGGCUCGCGCUGCCCAUCGCAUUUGUCGCAUUUUGCGAUUUUUCAGAAAAAAAUGCGACAGAAAUUCCGGAAAUGCGACACGGACAUUUCGUAUUUUAGUAUUCGCGCGCCAUUUUGAAUUUCAGCUGUUGGCAUCCAAACAGCCUCAGGGCUGUUUUACCUGUGCAGAAUGUGGAUACCCUGUCGCAUGGGAACAAUAAGACUUAGGGGCGUCUUGUUUAUUUAGCAGUUUACACAAAACAAAGGGUUGAUCCUCUAUGUGCAGACUUCAUGAAGUCCCUUCUCCUCUACAUGAUGAGAUUCACCAAAGGACCACUUUGUCAUUCUGGAUUUCAAGAUGAAAACAGAAUUAUUCAGUGAAAAUGUGAUGUGAAACUAUGAUCAUGUGUUAUGUAUUACAGUAAUCAAUUUUCAGUAACUUUGUCAUCAGUGACUUUUUCUAGACUGCAAAUUUAAUGAGUAAUAUAUGUAAUUUACACUACUAAAAUGAUUAAUAAACAUUUAGAAACUCA